rnacentral:sRNA from 1 species
GGGCACAAAAUUUCAAUCCAAUGUGAUAAUCAACAGACAGUUGGCAUCCUUACUAAGGAAGAUCCUUCUAUCACAACUAAGUUACGCCAUGUCGAUAUCUACGGUAAUUGGUUGCGAGAAUGGAUCAAAUCUGGCGAUAUCUCAGUACGGUGGACGCCUACAAGCAGUAUGCCAGCGGAUGGAUUGACCAAAGUAUUAUCACAGCAAAAGCAAAAAGAAUUCAUCAAACAGAUAGGAUUGGUUGAUAUAACUGAUCUUGUCAAUAAAACAACAAAAUAAGGUAUAAAAAUACAAUAAAUUUGGACAAGAGGAAUUCAACAUCCUCAUACAUCACAUUCGUUGAUUCUGUUCUGCUUGAUUAAUCUUAUCUUUGCCUGAUUAUUCCAGCUUCAUUCUCUAUAUCAUUCAGCUGAAGG